rnacentral:lncRNA from 1 species
AUGGGUGACUGCACUGUCUCUCAGACGGUGGCCGGCUCUUCUCUCCUCCAGCGCAGGAGCUCUCUUCGGCCAAGUCGGCUCACGUCGGRGUCGAAGCACACCUCCCGCAUACCCGCACAACCCGGCCACGUGGCCGCCCUGCUGCAGCCGUUCAGGGACAGGGGUUGCAGAUGGCCCCAGCCAGGCGAGCAGGAGCAAACCACAAGGCUGGCAUCGCCCACUGGGACRCAGAGCCCCCACCAGGGUCCACCUCAUGCCUCAGGGGAGACUGCCCCACAAGCCAGCCUGGUCACUGGGGAUUCCCCUCACCAUGUUAUGCCAUGGGGGACCCCACCUCACACCCCAUCCUGGGCACAGGGGACUCCCUUCGUCUUGUCCCCAUGGGGGGGGCCCACUGCAAACUCCAUGCCAGGCACUGGGGACCCCCUCACCCUGCUCUGCCAUGGGGGAAACCCACCUCAUACCCCAUCCUGGGCACAGGUGACCCCCUCGCCUUGUCUCAUAGGGGAAGACCCUGCAAACCCCAUCCUGGGGACCCUUGCUCCAUGUUUCCGCUGGAGGGCACCCCACCUCAAACCCCAUCACCCCCCCCCCCAAAACCCAUCCAGGCCACAGAGGACCCCUUCUGCCUUCUCCCUGCCGGGGGAACCCCACCUUAAAUCCCAUUAUCACCCCUCAAACUCCAUCCCAGUCACAGGGGACCUCCUUGCCUUGUCCCUGCUGGGGGGGGGGGAACCCCACUUCAAACCCCAUCGCCACCCUCUCAAACCCCAUCCUGGUGAUGGGGGUCACCUCGCCUUGUCCGCAUGGGUUGGGUCACCUAAAUGCCGUCCCCAUCACAGAGAACCCCCCCCCCAUCUUGUCCCCACCAGGUGGAACCCACAUCAAACAUCAUCAUGGUCACAGGGGACCCCCUCACCCCGUCCCUGCCAUGGGGGACUCCACCUCAGUGCCAUCCUGAUCACUAGGAACCCCCUUGGCUUGUCUCCACAUGGAGGGGGGAUGGGGGGACCCCCACCUAAAUGCCUUCCGGGUCACCGGGGAGCCCCUCAUCUUGUCCCCGCUGAGGGUGACCCCCACCUCAAACCCCAUCGUCACCCUCAGAUCCCAUACCAGUCACAGGGGAACCCCUUGCCUUAUCCCCAUGGCAGGGGGACCCCACAUAGACACCAUACCCGUCACAGGGGACCCCCUGCCCUGUCCCCACUGGGGGACCCCACACCUCCUGCAGGAACUCCCGCCCCACUCCCUGUCCCCAAGUCCACAAGAGCGCUGUGGGCCAGGGCUCUCCCCGCAGGCGCCCCUCACCCCCAGCUGCCAACCCCGCGGAAGCGCUUUUGA